rnacentral:sRNA from 1 species
AUCCUUCUUCUUCCUCUUCUUA